CCUUGCCAGGGCAGCAGGAGCAGGGACGGGCCAGGGACUGGCCGUGUGCCCAGCUGGACUUCAGAGGACCAGGCUCUCCCACCCCUGUUUUUAGCUACUGGAGAACGGCAGUUUAAGCAACCUGGCCUAAUUUGGAUGAGGACACAGAAGCACAGAACAGUGAACUGAGCUGCUCAAAGACAUCCAGCUGGUAAAAGGCAGAGCUGGGACUCAAACCCAGAUAUGGAAACUGAGUCCCCAAAAGGGAAAAUGACUUGCCCGAGAUCACACAGAGAUAGCGGAUAAACAAGUAACAAGACCAAGAGUUUCUGAUGACCAAAGUCUUGUUCCACUGAACACAGAGUCCAAGGACAUUGGCCUCAGCUACUGAUGUCAUCUGAGCUCCCUCCAAACUCUAUUCACCCACAGGGAAGACUUGA